rnacentral:lncRNA from 1 species
UUUUAUCAAGUUUUGCAGCAAGUUCUUUUUAAAGUUUUUCAUCAAGUUUUUUCAUAAAAUUUUCCAUCCAGUUUUUAAUCAUUUCGUUUUUAAAUUAAGCUUUUAUCUCUUGCAAUUCAAUCUUUUCUUUCUUUUUUUUUGUCAGCAAUUAAUUUCCAACAUUGCGUCACCUUCACCACUCACUUUCAUUUUUUUCAUUUAUUCAAUCUUAUUUAAUUAUUCCAAUACCAACAUGCCCCAAACCUUAGCCAACUAAACCCAUUUUCAGCUUUAGGCCGAAAUUAGCCUCGUCAAAACCCAUGAGGUAUGAACCCGAGCCAUUUGACUCCUAAAAUUUCAGUACUUAUUACUUCUCCAGAUUAAGAGUAUGAUUUUGUCAACUCAGAAAGUCAGAUCAAUACUAAGUCAAAAAAGACGUCAUUUGAUUUAGUGUGAUUGGACGUACAGUUGGAAUUCCGAAAAGAACGUUUCUAAUCGGUUUUCUGUAAACACAUUGGCGUGCUAAGUGGAGAUUGCUGUUUGGUUCCGUCAAGGGAAGUAGUAACUGGAUUUAAAUGUCCCACGCGAUUGAGGGCAUUGGUUCGAGCUAGGUUCUUCUAGAAUGCAAAGCUGCCGGAGUUCUAAAUCACGAACGUUUCGUGGUUGUUCGAUCGGUAAGGGUUAGUUAUUGGACGUUCGAUAACUAAUUUACAAAAGGAAGAGUUGGUGUCCGAGGCGUCCUUGGUAGCUAUAACUAGCUUAUUGGAAAAGAGGAGUUCAUCCAAUUUCGAGGAUCGGUUCAAAGACGAGGAAAAUUCAUGCCUAAAGCUGAGCUUAUUCUAAUUAAUUUUUCUUCAUAUUUAUUUCACUGUUUUUAUUAUCUUGUUUUCAACUUUUACCUUUUACGUUAUUUUUCUGUUCAUUUCAAGUCAUCAAAUUUUAUCCCCCCGAAUUUCUUGGGCACGACAGCUGCCCCGACAUAAAUCUGGUCAAGAAAGCAACAAUUUACAGUAAACCAGUCUCUGAGGGAUCGGCCCUACUCCCUAUACUGCAUAAUUUGCAAAUUAAGGCGUAGGUUUAUAUUGGUGGAAUCGAUACCCAUAAACUAUAGUGGAAUGACUUCAUGACUUAAUGAAUUUAUAAUUAAUAGGCGAAAAUCUGG